rnacentral:lncRNA from 1 species
AUUUCCUGUGAGAUGGAUUUGGAAUUGCCUAUCUGUUUUCAACUUUUGAAUCUGAAAUAAGUGUAUAAUGAAGGCUGUUAUAUUUUGAUGAACACUUGGAUUAUUAUAGACAUUGUGAUAAAAUUGCAAUUAUUGUAUCACAAUCAGUUUCACCUUAUUGUUGACUGAGGAAUUUCAUUUACAGUUUAUGACCAAUGAUCUGCAUUGCAAUAAAAAAAUCAAUCAUUAUACACAUUUGAGGUACGUAGAUUAAACCUUAUUUUAUUGUAUUAAAUAAAAAAUGCAAGCUGCAAAUUACACAAACACCAUUUCAAAUGUUGACAAAUAUUGCUUUCAUGGAGUUAUGUUCCUUUAUAAAAAUAAAACCUACUUUCGGGUAAUGAUUUCCAUCUACAGAGUUAUGGUCCUUGGAAAUUGAAUAAUGUUAUGUCCAUAGGCAAAUUCAAAACAUAAUGUAAGGAAAUCAUCUUCAUGUUAAAUCACAGUCAUCUUUGUUUUAGGUACUGUAUUAGUUAUUGUGAAUUACAGAUGUAAAAAAGAAGAGAAUUCAAUAAAAAAAGAAAUCAAGAGCUUAUCAUGUUCAAAAUGAUGUAUAUAUAUACAUUUUAUAUAUAUUUUUUAAAAGGACUAUUGUCUAUCUUAUAAUGUGUAUUCAUGAGAUAUGACUGUUUUUAUUUAUUGUUUUUCAGCUGACAUUUUGUUUUCUGCUUUUCAAAAUAAUGUCUUUUGUCCAAGAGCAAGUGACUGUGAACUAUUACAGAUAUUGUUAAAUGAUAACUUUGAAAUAGUAAGUUUGUAAUUUUUUAAAGUUCCAAUUAUUGAACAAUGAUCAUGAUUAGCUUUGUAGUUAUGUAUAAACAGAAAAUGUAGUAUGAUUGUCAAUGAGACAACACUCAACAAAUGACCAAAUGACACAAAAAUUAACAACUAUAUAUGACCAUACAGCCUUUAACAAUGAACCAAGCCCAUACUGCAUAGUCAGCUAUAAGAGGCCCUGAACCAACAAAUUUAAAACAAAUAAAUGAGAAGACUAAUGGCCUUAUUUAUGUACAAAAUUGAAAGAAAAACAAAUAUGUAACACAUUAAAACAAAAGACAACCACUGAAUUACAGGCUUCUGACUUUGGAGACACAUACAUACAGAAUGCAGCUGGGUUAAACAUGUUAGCUGGAUCCCAACACUCUCCCUAACCUGAGACAGUAGUGUAACAAUACAACAUAAGAAUGAACUAUACAAAUCAGUUAGAAAAAAGCUUAGCUCAUCAGAUGGAUACAAAUAGAAAUACAUCCAACAAAAACACAGAGAGGAUGUUGGAGUUUAAUUGUACAUCCCAACAACUAAAAAGACACUAAAUACUGAUCCGAAAGUACAAGCAGUUACUGACAGCUAGUUACAAGCCACUGACAAUGAAUAAAAAAAAAUCGUGCAUCUAAGACGCAAUUAUCAAUCAAUACACAUCAUAAACAGUCACACAGUCAGAGAAACACAUGACCUUUAUAGUUUGUUAAAAAAAAGAAAAAAGGUACCUUCAAUUUUUGUGGGCACAGAAUAAAUCGUGGUAUUGGCAAAAUUUAGCUGACAAAGACAUAUGUUUCAUUCUUUUCAUUAUGAUGUUGACAUAAAGACUUGAUUAUACUUGGUUAUUGUGUAUAAAGAUACCCAAAGCAAGCACCAUAUGUUGAAGAGGUGAUCUUGUAGCUCACUUAAACAGAUCAGAAAUAUAUCUUCUGUUGAAGUUAGCUCUCAAUUUCUUUUUUGUAUUGCAUUUUUGGAGUUGGUAAUGUCUUGAUUCCUUCACCCAUAUCUGUUUUAUAUAUAUAAUGUAUAAAAAAAAAGCAACAAUCAACAUUCAAUCAAUUUAGGUGUGGAUCAGAUUGUGCAAAUAAACUGAUACAGUUACUGAAUUAAAAUUAUAUAAAUGUCUAAGAAUAUAACUUAAACGCGCUAAUUAAUUAUAUACAUGUAUGUAUUAAAACUUUUUUGUUUCUUAAUCUGAAUAGUCUUUGAAACUUUCAGGAAGCUGGAAUUCUCAGAUGAAAAGAAAUUCUUUUUUGGUAGCACUUGUUGGAGGCAAUACGUCACUUAUAGAUACUCUGCCCAGAACUAGGUAAAUAUACAAUCUAUAAAAAAGAACACCAACCUGGGAAAUAUAUAUCUUUAGCCAUUUGAAACCUUUUUUUUUUUUGUGAUUUAAGCUUUAAAUAUCAGGUACAAAACCUUGAAGCAAAUAAAAGAAGGUCAUACAAAACAAUAUACUCUAGAAUAUAUGCUGAAUUAUUUCUUCAAUCUGACUUUAAAUGUUGGAAUACAUGAAGGGACCAAGGGUGGACAUAGUGUAGUACUGAUGAGGAAAAUAGCAAAAUACCUAUCUUUCCUAAAAUUUAUGAAGCUGUAAUUAAUUUAAUGUGCCCAUGGUAACAAAGUAUAUUUUUUUAUUCUGUGUAGAUGAGGUUCUUAUAUAUAUAUGUAACAUAACUCCCCCUUUUUUUCAAAAACCUGGUUUAAAAUUUUAAAAGCACUGAAGUCUUUGAAACAUGUAAUUUUGAAAAAAACAUCUUCCUAUUUCUAUUUACAUCAAUGUUUGUAUAGUGUGUUAAUUUUAUUUCUAAAACAUUUAUAUUAAUAUAUACUAGUUUUCACAAUAUUGCCCUCCAUACUUUUCACAAAAAAGUUGUUCCUUAUCAAAUAUGGCCGACUAUUUUAUUUUAUGAAAGAAAAGUUUUAAUGGCCAAACAUGCUUUUAUGGUUGCAUUUUAUUCAAAAUAAAUAAUAGCUUGUACUAGAAAUUCCUAUUCUCUAUAGUUUUAUUCAUAUUUUUCAGAAUUUUGUGUACAUGGAAAUGCUGUGGAUUUAUUCAAAGGUUGCCUCUAUUCUGAAUGACUUAUUAGACUUAUAUACAUGCUGAAGUGUUUAAUUUUGUUAUAUAUGUAUUCUACACACCACAACGAAGAUUUUGAUAUAUGAUAUGGUAAUCUUUGUUCCUCAAAUAAUUAAUAAAUUGACAAUAAAGUUUUACUGAAAUUUGACUUUAGCGGAACCUUAAA